AAGCUCGUAGUUGAAUUUCGGGGUUAGUAGGUUGGUCAUGCCUCUGGUAUGUACUGGUCUCACUGAUUCCUCCUUCCUUAUGAACCGUAAUGCCAUUAAUUUGGUGUUGCGGGGAAUUUGGACUGUUACUUUGAAAAAAUUAGAGUGUUUAAAGCAAGCUAACGCCUGAAUACAUUAGCAUGGAAUAAUGAAAUAGGACGUUCGAUCUUAUUUUGUUGGUUUCUUAGGAUUGACGUAAUGAUUAAUAGGGAUAGUUGGG
rnacentral:rRNA from 1 species